AUUGAACGCUGGCGGCGUGCCUAACACAUGCAAGUCGAGCGGUAACAGGUGUAGCAAUACAUGCUGACGAGCGGCGAACGGGUGAGUAAUGCUUUGGAAUCUUCCCAGUAGUGGGGAAUAACCAGUCGAAAGAUUGGCUAAUACCGCAUACGUCUGUAAAGGGAAAGCGGGGGCUCGUAAGACCUCGCGCUAUUGGAUGAGCCAAAGUCGGAUUAGCUAGUUGGGGGGUAAUGGCCUACCAAGGCGACAAUCCGUAGCUGGUCUGAGAGGACGACCAGCCACACCGGAACUGAGACACGGGUCCGGACUCCUACGGGAGGCAGCAGUGGGGAAUAUUGGACAAUGGGGGAAACCCUGAUCCAGCGACGCCGCGUGUGUGAAGAAGGCCUGCGGGUUGUAAAGCACUUUUAGUGGGGACAAAAGCUACGGAUUAAUACUCUGUGUCUUGAUUUAACCCAAAGAAAAGCACCGGCUAACUCU
rnacentral:rRNA from 1 species